CCUACGGGGGGCUGCAGUGGGGAAUAUUGGAUAAUGGGGGGAACCCUGAUCCAGCCAUGCCGCGUGUGUGAAGAAGGCCCUCGGGUUGUAAAGCACUUUCAGUGAGGAAGAACGCCUGGUGGUUAAUACCCAUCAGGAAAGACAUCACUCACAGAAGAAGCACCGGCUAACUCCGUGCCAGCAGCCGCGGUAAUACGGAGGGUGCGAGCGUUAAUCGGAAUUACUGGGCGUAAAGCGCGCGUAGGUGGCUUGAUAAGCCGGUUGUGAAAGCCCCGGGCUCAACCUGGGAACGGCAUCCGGAACUGUCAAGCUAGAGUGCAGGAGAGGAAGGUAGAAUUCCCGGUGUAGCGGUGAAAUGCGUAGAGAUCGGGAGGAAUACCAGUGGCGAAGGCGGCCUUCUGGACUGACACUGACACUGAGGUGCGAAAGCGUGGGUAGCAAACAGGAUUAGAUACCCUUGUAGUC
rnacentral:rRNA from 1 species